GCUUCGGUGGCCUAGUGGUUAGAGCGUCCGCCUCAGAUGCGGGAGGUUUCAGGUUCAAACCCCGGUCGAGUCA